AACGCAUAUUGCGCUCGAGCCCUCGGGCAAGAGCAUGUCUGCCUCAGCGUCGGUUUACACCCUCACCCCUCCCAACUUGUUGGGUAUGUUUGCUUUUUUUGCAAGCCACAGGGGUGGAUCUGGCUUCCCCAAUCAGCCAUCAGGUAGAUUGGGUUGGCUGAAGUACAGAGGCUUAAGCAAGGACCCGAUAUGGGCUUCAACUGGAUAGGUAGCACCGGCUUUUGCCGACUACACGAAGUUGUUGCUUGUGGAUCUUGCUAGAAGCCAAGCAGGAAUGUGCCUUUGGCAUAUCUUAACUUUCGACCUGAGCUCAGGCAAGAUUACCCGCUGAACUUAA
rnacentral:misc_RNA from 1 species